UUCCCAUUUUAUAAAAAAGGAAAAAAAAACACUUUUUCAACCCUCAACGUUGACGGAACCCUAACCUCGAUCUCGUUCCUCCUCCGUCGACGCCGAGGCCAUGGGGAGUUCAGGGAAGCUGAUGAACCAGAUCAUGGAGCUCAAGUUCACGUCCAAGAGCCUGCAGCGGCAGUCGCGCAAGUGCGAAAAAGAGGAGAAGUCGGAGAAGCUCAAGGUGAAGAAGGCGAUCGAGAAGGGAAACAUGGACGGAGCCCGGAUUUACGCUGAGAACGCCAUCCGGAAGCGGAACGAGCAGAUGAACUAUCUCCGCCUCGCCUCUCGCCUCGACGCCGUCGUCGCCCGCCUCGAUACCCAGGCCAAGAUGCAGGUGAUCGGGAAGUCCAUGGGUUCCAUCGUCAAGUCCCUUGAGUCUUCUCUCGCCUCCGGAAACCUGCAGAAGAUGUCUGAGACGAUGGAUCAAUUCGAGCGCCAGUUUGUCAACAUGGAGGUCCAGGCGGAGUUCAUGGAAGGCGCCAUGGCCGGAUCCACCAGCCUCUCCACGCCGGAGGGCGAAGUUAAUAGCCUGAUGCAGCAAGUUGCUGAUGAUUAUGGUCUUGAGGUUUCAGUUGGGCUGCCACAGGCUGCGGCGCAUGCCAUUCCGGCGAAGGAAACUGAGAAGGUAAACGAGGAUGAUCUCUCCAGACGCCUCGCAGACCUCAAGGCGAGGGGCUAAAGAUUCUUCUCCAAACCAAGAAAAAGAGGUAUCCUUGUUCAUAGUUAUAAAUCCCUAUUUUGCUCUGAUACUACACGGUGAAGACUCAAUAAUUUGCAAUAUGCUGGUGAACUACUUGUAAUAAGCUUAUUCGUAAAUAUCGUUGCGCUGUGAUAUAACUUGAUUACUAUCCAAACUCGAAGAUUUGUAAUAUAUUUCAUGAUUGUGUGAGCUUCAUUUACUUGCAGCAAAAUUUGUGUUGUUUGACCA